GAUGAACGCUAGCGGGAGGCCUAACACAUGCAAGCCGAGCGGUAUUUGUUCUUCGGAACAGAGAGAGCGGCGCACGGGUGCGGAACACGUGUGCAACCUGCCCUUAUCUGGGGGAUAGCCUUUCGAAAGGAAGAUUAAUACCCCAUAAUAUAUUGAGUGGCAUCAUUUGAUAUUGAAAACUCCGGUGGAUAGAGAUGGGCACGCGCAAGAUUAGAUAGUUGGUGAGGUAACGGCUCACCAAGUCAAUGAUCUUUAGGGGGCCUGAGAGGGUGAUCCCCCACACUGGUACUGAGACACGGACCAGACUCCUACGGGAGGCAGCAGUGAGGAAUAUUGGACAAUAGGUUAGCGCCUGAUCCAGCCAUCCCGCGUGAAGGACGACGGCCCUAUGGGUUGUAAACUUCUUUUGUAUAGGGAUAAACCUACUCUCGUGAGAGUAGCUGAAGGUACUAUACGAAUAAGCACCGGCUAACUCCGUG
rnacentral:rRNA from 1 species